rnacentral:tRNA from 1 species
CAAGAUGUAGCUUAUGUAAAGUUAUUUAUUUACAUUAAAUUGAAAGUUAAUAAACUCUUCUUGA